ACUUCGAUAGCUUAGUUGGUAGAGCGGAGGACUGUAGAACCUUAGGUCGCUGGUUCAAAUCCGGCUCGAAGGA
rnacentral:tRNA from 1 species